rnacentral:tRNA from 1 species
ACCUGGGUGGCUCAGUUGGUUAAGCAUCUGACUUUGGCUCAGGUCAUGAUCUCACGGUUUGUGGGUUCAAGCCCCUCAUCAGGCU